rnacentral:rRNA from 1 species
CCUACGGGCGGCUGCAGUGGGGAAUAUUGGACAAUGGGCGAAAGCCUGAUCCAGCCAUGCCGCGUGUGUGAAGAAGGCCUUCGGGUUGUAAAGCACUUUCAGUGGGGAAGAAAGCCUUGGGGCUAAUACCCUCGAGGAAGGACAUCACCCACAGAAGAAGCACCGGCUAACUCCGUGCCAGCAGCCGCGGUAAUACGGAGGGUGCGAGCGUUAAUCGGAAUUACUGGGCGUAAAGCGCGCGUAGGCGGUCUGAUAAGCCGGUUGUGAAAGCCCCGGGCUCAACCUGGGAACGGCAUCCGGAACUGUCAGGCUAGAGUGCAGGAGAGGAAGGUAGAAUUCCCGGUGUAGCAGUGAAAUGCGUAGAGAUCGGGAGGAAUACCAGUGGCGAAGGCGGCCUUCUGGAAUGACACUGACGCUGAGGUGCGAAAGCGUGGGUAGCAAACAGGAUUAGAUACCCGUGUAGUC